UACGAAGGGUGCAAACGUUGCUCGGAAUCACUGGGCGUAAAGGGUGCGUAGGCGGGUCUUUAAGUCAGGGGUGAAAUCCUGGAGCUCAACUCCAGAACUGCCUUUGAUACUGAAGAUCUUGAGUUCGGGAGAGGUGAGUGGAACUGCGAGUGUAGAGGUGAAAUUCGUAGAUAUUCGCAAGAACACCAGUGGCGAAGGCGGCUCACUGGCUCGAUACUGACGCUGAGGCACGAAAGCGUGGGGAGCAAACAGG
rnacentral:rRNA from 1 species